UUGCUUCAGUAGCACCUAUACUAAAGUUGGAACAACAGGGAGAUUGGCAUGGCCUCUGUGCAAGAACAACAUGCAAGUUUGUGAAUCAUUCCAUAUUUUU
rnacentral:snRNA from 1 species